rnacentral:rRNA from 1 species
AGAGUUUGAUCAUGGCUCAGAACGUACGCUGGCGGCACGCCUAAUACAUGCAAGUCGAACGAAGUAGCAAUACUUAGUGGCAGACGGGUGAGUAACAUGUAGGUAUCUACCCUUUGGCCUGGAAUAACACGAGGAAACUUGUGCUAAUACCGGAUAAGUCUUUACGGAGAAAGCUUUAUGCACCAUUGGAUGAGCCUGCACUUGAUUAGUUUGUUGGUGGGGUAAUGGCCUACCAAGACUGUGAUCAAUAGCUGAUUUGAGAGGAUGAUCAGCCACAUUGGGACUGAGACACGGCCCAAACUCCUACGGGAGGCAGCAGUAGGGAAUCUUGCACAAUGGAGGAAACUCUGAUGCAGCGAUGCCGCGUGAGUGAAGAAGGCCUUUGGGUUGUAAAGCUCUUUCGUCGGGGAAGAAAAUGACUGUACCCGAAUAAGAAGGUCCGGCUAACUUCGUGCCAGCAGCCGCGGUAAUACGAAGGGACCUAGCGUAGUUCGGAAUUACUGGGCUUAAAGAGCUCGUAGGUGGUUAGAAAAGUUGGUGGUGAAAUCCCAAGGCUUAACCUUGGAACUGCCACCAAAACUUUUUAACUAGAGUAUGAUAGAGGAAAGUGGAAUUUCUAGUGUAGAGGUGAAAUUCGUAGAUAUUAGAAAGAACACCAAUUGCGAAGGCAGCUUUCUGGAUCAUUACUGACACUGAGGAGCGAAAGCAUGGGUAGCGAAGAGGAUUAGAUACCCUCGUAGUCCAUGCCGUAAACGAUGUGUGCUAGACGUUGGAAAUUUAUUUUUCAGUGUCGCAGCAAAAGCGUUAAGCACACCGCCUGGGGAGUACGACCGCAAGGUUAAAACUCAAAUGAAUUGACGGGGACCCGCACAAGUAGUGGAGCAUGUGGUUUAAUUCGAAGAUACGCGCAGAACCUUACCAACACUUGACAUGUUCGUCGCGACUCUAAGAGAUUAGAGUUUUCGGUUCGGCCGGACGAAACACAGGUGCUGCAUGGCUGUCGUCAGCUCGUGUCGUGAGAUGUUGGGUUAAGUCCCGCAACGAGCGCAACCCUUACUUUUAGUUGCCAUCAUUUAGUUGGGCACUCUGAAAGAACUGCCAGUGAUAAGCUGGAGGAAGGUGGGGAUGACGUCAAGUCCUCAUGGCCCUUACGUGUUGGGCUACACACGUGCUACAAUGGUAUCUACAACAGGAAGCAAAACAGCGAUGUUAAGCAAAUCCCGAAAAGAUACCUCAGUUCGGAUUGCACUCUGCAACUCGAGUGCAUGAAGCUGGAAUUACUAGUAAUCGUGGAUCAGCGUGCCACGGUGAAUACGUUCCCGGGUCUUGUACACACCGCCCGUCACACCAUGGGAGUUGGUUCUACCUUAAGGCAAAGUUUAAAACCUUUGACCACGGUAUAGUCAGCGACUGGGGCGAAGUCGUAACAAGGUAGCCGUAG